GCCACUGGGUGCAAAUGGUUAACACACUCAACUGCUAACUGAAAGGUUGGUGGUUCAAGUCCACCCAGAGGUG
rnacentral:tRNA from 1 species